GGGUGCGUUAAUAGUUUUUUUAUUUUUAUACUUUUUAAGUUAUUCUUUGUAAAUAUUCGUUUUCGGUAUUAGAGUCAGUGCGCAAGAGGAUUCAGCCUCUUCAGGAAUCAAGAAUUAUUUUUCACGAUCUCUACUUGCUGUUGUCCAGAGGGGAUCUAGUGGUGUCCCAAAAUACAAUAAUAUUUUACAUAACUUCUCCAUUUCUGCUGUUUUCUUGGGAGGAUUUUAACAAUGCUCCAAAAGAUAAGAGUACUUUUUAUGGAUCCCAUUCCCUUCAUGGUGUUUGAUGGCUUCUGCUUGAUGACAACCAUUUGAUGACUUCCUCUGGGUCGCAACGGCGUCAAUUACAACGUCAACCGCAUCUAAUC